rnacentral:rRNA from 1 species
UACGUAGGGUGCGAGCGUUAAUCGGAAUUACUGGGCGUAAAGCGUGCGCAGGCGGUGAGCUGUGUCCGAUGUGAAAGCCCCGGGCUUAACCUGGGAAUGGCAUUGGAAACUGGCUCGCUGGAGUGUGGCAGAGGGGGGUGGAAUUCCGCGUGUAGCAGUGAAAUGCGUAGAGAUGUGGAGGAACACCGAUGGCGAAGGCAGCCCCCUGGGCCUGCACUGACGCUCAUGCACGAAAGCGUGGGGAGCAAACAGG